AAUUAUGAAAUACCCAUGAUAAAUAUCAAACACACAUGCAAUACAGAAAUGGAUAAGUUAAGACUUGACCAUUGUACAAAAAAUGCUGACUGGGUCAUGAGGUCAGAAAAGAAGAAGAAAAAAACAGGUCAAGAAGAACUGACAAAAAGAAUUGCAAAAUAAUUAGGAAUUAAUGUGAAGAUUAAUUUUUAGUCAAUUCUGCAAGACAGACUUUCAGGAAAGGAGGUGGAAUAAAAAUGAGCUCCUAAAUCUUAAUCCCAGAUUCUGGAAGAUAUAUUCCUCAAACCAUCGGACAAGAGGAGGUGGUGCUGGUCCUUCACGAGUCACUCUAAUCUGUUCAUUAAGCCUAUAUAUAAAGUCUUAAUAUAUAGUAUUUCACAAUACUUCAUGGUAUUCUAAUUAAAUCAUUUUUUGGAAUCUUAAGUCUCUCAGAGCCUGACACCGAGUAAUUCUGGAGACUCCAGGAAAGUGGCAGUUCUGUAAAAUGUUGGCGCUGGAGACUAAAUGCACCCUGAUAGAUUCACACCUAAUUCACUUAACACACACACACACACACACACAUUACCCACAGUGACAGUGGAACUGAGUGACAUCAGAUGUAUGAUAGUUUUUUAAUUUUCUAUCAUCCAUAUAGUGUUGUAUAGUCAUGAAACUAUGGUCAUGAGACCAGUCAUUCUGAGGAAAUAUGCCUCAGAAUGACUGGUCUUCUAUGUGUACAUUUUUUUGAAGUGUUUAGAAGCUGCACUUUAAAAAAAUAAAAAGACAUUUACUGGUU